rnacentral:rRNA from 1 species
UGCCAGCCGCCGCGGUAACACGGGGGGCGCAAGCGUUAUUCGGAAUUAUUGGGCGUAAAGGGCGCGCAGGCGGUCUUGUCCGUCAGGUGUGAAAGCUCGGGGCUCAACCCCGGAAGUGCACUUGAAACAGCAAGACUUGAAUACGGUAGAGGAGAGAGGAAUUCCUGGUGUAGAGGUGAAAUGCGUAGAUAUCCGGAGGAACACCAGUGGCGAAGGCGGCUUCCUGGACUGACACUGACACUGAGGCGCGAAAGCGUGGGGAGCAAACAGGAUUAGAUA